rnacentral:lncRNA from 1 species
AGGCCCAGAUCACCAUUCAGGGAGCUGUGACCAUGAGGGCAGGAGUCACAUAAAUUGUCAAGGAAGAAUUGCCUGUGGUGGUUCUUGUGGGAAGAGAGCAAUGGACUUAGCUCCCAUUUAUGGUGCCACACCCUGCCCUGCUCACUGGUGAAAACUGAAAAGGGAAGACGGUCCAUUUGUAGUUGAAUAGAGCUCUAGGUUAACUUUAUGAUUUACCUGGGGACAUACCAUAGUUCUAGAGUUGGAAAUCCACAGUAAGACUUUUUCCGUCGAAUUAUACUAACAAUAGAUCUAUAAUAGCCCUUUCCUCUCUUAUUCAUUGCCUCUGUAGAUAUUUUUUGUUCCUCUCUGGUGAGAAGGAACUGGCUAAUGUGGGACUCUGGGGUGGGAAUAGAUGGUGUUUUAAUUUUUCCCACAUGGAACCUUGGGCAUACUCCCAUUGUGACAGGUACCUUUGUAUACAGGCAGCUUUCUCACUAGACUGUUAGAUUCUUUUCUGUGCCUAAGAAUUAGGAUAUUGAUGAUUGGUUGCUGAAAGGAUGGAUUAUAAGAUAAUGACUAAUGCAGUUCAGUGAUGGGUAGAUGGUCACUCAAGAAGGCUGGCUUAGAGUCCUGGGGACCGGGGUUCAUAGAGAGUCGUCAUAGAGUAUGACAACCAUCAUAGAGUAUGAAAGCUGGCAGGAGAAACUAGUUAUACUUCUCUCCUUCAAUUUCACUUUUGACUUUCCAGAAUGGUGUAACAAAUUAAGAUUAGACUGAAAAUUAAGAUUGAACUGAAUCAGACUCUUUAAAUUGGAGUUCCAUUUCUAAUGAUGUCAGUUCUCUCUUGGUGAAAUAGGACAAGUUUCUUAACCUCCCAGAUCCAAUUUCCUCUUUUGGAAAUAUGGGAAUUAACAGUACCUACCUCACAAGAUUAAAUGAAAUAUCACGUGUAAAGCACUCAGUGCAAGCUCAACAAGUCAUCUUUCCCUCUCUUGUACUUUCAUCCAAGCAGUCCUUGUUGCAUAUCUGACAUUUAGAAACUUGGCCUUGUCAAUGUUUAAGCAAUGAUGGUGUUGAGAAUCAAUAAGCCUUGUUAGGGAGUAAUGUUUUUCAUAGAUUCUCCAGCCAUAUUUUUCAUGAUAAGAGGUUUUUCUGAGAGGUGAUUUCUGACAUUCUGCACAAAUCAAAAUUAUUCAAGGAGACAAAGGCAUUGAUCAUCUUCUCGUUGCUUGUUUUCCUUGACCCCUCUGGCAGCUUUACCAGCAUUCUCUAUAAAUGCCACAUAUAAAUUAAAACUGGCUUUUGCAAGUAGAUAAUUCACCCCAC